rnacentral:rRNA from 1 species
UACGGAGGGUGCGAGCGUUGUCCGGAAUCAUUGGGCGUAAAGGGCGCGUAGGUGGCCCGGUCAGUCAGUGGUGAAAUACGGCAGCUCAACUGUCGAGGUGCCAUUGAUACUGCAGAACUUGAGUACAGACGAGGUAGGCGGAAUUGACGGUGUAGCGGUGAAAUGCUUAGAUAUCGUCAAGAACACCGAUAGCGAAGGCAGCUUACUAGACUGUAACUGACGCUGAGGCACGAAAGUGUGGGGAUCAAACAGG